GGUGAACGCUGGCGGUAGGCCUAACACAUGCAAGUCGAACGGCAGCACAGUAAGAGCUUGCUCUUACGGGUGGCGAGUGGCGGACGGGCGAGGAAUACAUCGGAAUCUACUUUUUCGUGGGGGAUAACGUAGGGAAACUUACGCUAAUACCGCAUACGACCUACGGGUGAAAGCAGGGGAUCUUCGGACCUUGCGCGAUUGAAUGAGCCGAUGUCGGAUUAGCUAGUUGGCGGGGUAAAGGCCCACCAAGGCGACGAUCCGUAGCUGGUCUGAGAGGAUGAUCGGCCACACUGGAACUGAGACACGGUCCAGACUCCUACGGGAGGCAGCAGUGGGGAAUAUUGGACAAUGGGCGCAAGCCUGAUCCAGCCAUACCGCGUGGGUGAAGAAGGCCUUCGGGUUGUAAAGCCCUUUUGUUGGGAAAGAAAAGCAGCAGGUUAAUACCCCGCUGUUCUGACGGUACCCAAAGAAUAAGCACCGGCUAACUUCGUG
rnacentral:rRNA from 1 species